rnacentral:rRNA from 1 species
UAUGUGAUCGUCUCUCGCAUAUCAAUAAGCGGAGGAAAAGAAACUAACAAGGAUUCCCCUAGUAACGGCGAGUGAAGCGGGAAGAGCUCAAAUUUGAAAUCUUAAAGGGUUUCCCUUUACGAAUUGUAGUUUAAAGAAGUGUUUUCUGUUGAGGUUUUGGUAAAAGUUCUUUGGAAUAGGACAUCAUAGAGGGUGAGAAUCCCGUAUUUGACCUUUACUUUCAACUUUGUGAUACACUCUCAAAGAGUCGGAUUGUUUGGGAAUGCAGUCCAAAAUGGGUGGUAAAUUUCAUCUAAAGCUAAAUAUUGGCGAGAGACCGAUAGCGAACAAGUACCGUGAGGGAAAGAUGAAAAGAACUUUGAAAAGAGAGUUAAACAGUACGUGAAAUUGUCAAAAGGGAAGCGUUUGACACCAGUGUUGUUUUUCUGAAAAUCAAUUAAAGAACUGUUUAUGCUAAGUUGUUUAGACUUUAUCAGCUAACUGUUUAGUUUUGAGCUUUUCUUUAAUGCACUUUUCAGUUAACAAGUCAACAUCAAUUUCUUUUGCUGUAAAAAAGCUCGAGGAAGGUGGCUUGAGAUUCGUCUUAAGUGUUUAUAGCCUCUUGCCUAUGCAGUCGGAGAGAUUGAGGUCUGCAGCGUAGAUCCUUCGGGGCUAAAUGCAUUUGUGCUAAGUUAUAGCAUUUUAUAGACAACUUGUUGACUAUGAUUUGUCUUGUAGCUUACUCGCUUAUGUUAUUUUACCUACGCUUAGGAUGUUGAUAUGCAUGACUGAUAU